rnacentral:piRNA from 1 species
UGUAGCACUCCAGAUAUUUCCUCAUUAC